rnacentral:rRNA from 1 species
AUUGAACGCUGGCGGAAUGCUUUACACAUGCAAGUCGAACGGCAGCACGGGGCAACCUGGUGGCGAGUGGCGAACGGGUGAGUAAUACAUCGGAACGUGCCCAAUCGUGGGGGAUAACGUAGCGAAAGUUACGCUAAUACCGCAUACGAUCUACGGAUGAAAGCGGGGGAUCGCAAGACCUCGCGCGAAUGGAGCGGCCGAUGUCAGAUUAGGUAGUUGGUGGGGUAAAGGCUCACCAAGCCAACGAUCUGUAGCUGGUCUGAGAGGACGACCAGCCACACUGGAACUGAGACACGGUCCAGACUCCUACGGGAGGCAGCAGUGGGAAUUUUGGACAAUGGGCGCAAGCCUGAUCCAGCCAUGCCGCGUGAGUGAAGAAGGCC